CUUUACUGUAGCUUUGCAUUGGACUGUGACGCUGUCUGUGUAGGAUAGCUGGGAGCCUUUGAAGCCGGGAUGCUAGUUCCGGUGGAGGCGACGUUGAAAUACCAGCCUGAUGACGUUGCGGUUCUAACCUGGGCCCCUUGACGGGGUCGGGGACCGUGCAUGGUAGGCAGUUUGACUGGGGCGGUCUCCUCCCAAAGAGUAACGGAGGAGUGCGAAGGUCACCUAGGUACGGUCGGAAAUCGUACUCAUAGUGCAAUGGCAUAAGGUGGCUUGACUGCGAGACUGACAAGUCGAGCAGGUGCGAAAGCAGGUCAUAGUGAUCCGGUGGUUCUGUAUGGAAGGGCCAUCGCUCAACGGAUAAAAGGUA
rnacentral:rRNA from 1 species